CGGCUUUACUGAGCUCUCCACGCUACAGCUUGAAGGUGCAGAGGCUGUCAUCAGACUGGUUGCCCAACGAAAUGGUAUAAAAUAUGUUAUGAAGGAGAGUGGCAGGCCAUUCUGGCUGAAUUCAGAAGUCCGUUUCACCUACAGUCCUGCCAGGAUAAGAUGCCUAUUGAAGAUGAUUUACAAGGUGAAAAGGAAAUGUGUGUGGAAACUGAGUGACAACAAUACUUCAAAGCUCAAACAAAGGAUUAUUUUAUUGAAUUUCUUGAAAGAAAUAGUUGGUUUCAUUCCCUUUCUCCAUAGCAAGAAAUUUUAGCACACUGCAACAGUUUUCCAUAAAACUUAUUGUCUUAACAAAAAUAUAUUAUUACUUAAAUAACUAAAGGUCCAGAUUUAAAACCACAAAUUCACAACCUGGAAGCACCCCACAAACCCUUUGUGAUUUUACAGUUGCAUGACAAAGAUAUGAAGGUUUGAUGGAUCUAAGAAGGGAUUUGUGGUCUGGAGAACUCAGUGAAAUUCCUUGGCCUGUCUUAUGCAGAAUGUCAGACUAGACUCUGGUGAUCACUUAAAAUAGAAUAAUUUAAAACAGAUUCAGUUCCAGCAGUUUCUAAAAGGUCUGGUAAGACUUAGUGAAUUAGCAUUUGGAAAGUUAGAUCAUACUCAUACUUCAAGUAGUCACAGCUUCUCCUCGGCACACUUUUUUUCCUAUGUGAUUAAUCAGGUAUGAGUAAUGUUUCUUGACCAGCAAAAGGAUCUGCAUCUAAGACACCUGAACCGCACCUGCUCCUCUGCUGUCUGUAAAAUUUGAAGCAGGAAGACUUCUUGGCUGACAAGCUGAAAAGUUUUGGAUCCAGUGGCUGUCCCAUCAUACGUACCAUUUUCACAUUACACUGCAAGUGAACCUGCCUAAAGACUUAUUUCAGGGAUAACAUUUGGGACCAGUGACAAAUGCCUGGCUGAUCCAGUUGUAUAACUUAUGCUAAGCUACAGAGACAACCCAGACAACCCUUAAGAAAUUGUUACAAGCUUGUGUUACAGCACUUCUAAAGAGGGAAGGAUGCUCCAGAGCCAAACCCCAUCAAGCCAAUGUCUUUAAUAUAUGAUUUUAAAGAUAAAGCACUGAAGUAAUUUAUAAAUUGUCUGUCACCAGUGGCUGAACAACACCUUCUUUCCAAGCAAGCUUGAGUUACACUUGAGAAAGUAUGUCCUGGCUGAGCACUGAACAUCAUUCAACUUGCUGAAGUUGGGUUUGAAAGUGAUAUGGGCACAGAUGCAGUGUUCAAAGGCCAGUCGGCUGUGUCUGACACCAUAUACCACCAUAUGCUUUUAGACAAAAUAAAGUACAUGAGAGAAAAUCAAUGCAUAUUAUGACUGAUAAAAUUUCUAUCUAAAAAAGGACAAAUUUCCCCAUAAUCAGCAAUGAUUUCUAUGCUUAACUCUGUAAGAAGAACUAAGAGUGGAGGCUACAGCAUGACCUACCACAUGGGUAUGUGCUUGAGUCUGUAUUAUCUAGCAUCUAUGUGAACAACCAAAAAUCCAUUCUCAUAGCAGAAGAAUUAUUCCUGCUACUAAUAUUUGUAACUCUGACUAGAUUAAGGGCUUCACGUGAUUGCAAACCAGAUUUAUGUCCAUAUUCCUCAGGUUUUCACAUUUUACUAACAAAACCCAAUAACAAACCAAUCCAAACCAAUCUGAUUAAACAGCAAGUCCCUUUUUUUUUUUUUUUUCUGAAAUCACAAGUCCAGUAAAUUUAGUGUAAUUUGGAACAGCCUAUUGUUUGCCCACUGUUGCGAUCCUGUUUAUUUUGAGCAUAUGCAGAAAAGAAAAAAUAUAAGUUCCAUGCAUAGAAUCAUAUAUUGAAGAAGCUCACAAAUUCUAAAUGGACAUUAACCAGAGAAAAUUAUGAAUGACUACACUUGCACUCUCCACGGGCUUAUUAUAAAAACAAGAAGGGGUCGUUCAUGCAGAGAAGUUAGACACUGUUAAGAGAAUGUUGCUGCUGUAUUAUUUAAUGCCUUUGAUUGGAUGAAUGGAACAAACUGCCUGGGCAUUUUGGGAUCAUCCCACUGAAAACCAAAAGCAGAGUUGUGAAUAAAGUGGAAUCCUUCCAACAGAUUGAAGACCGAGGGGCACGCUGCAGCUGUUGGCCAGCUGCUGUAAGAUUUCCAACUACAAUGGAGCCAUUUAAUAAAUCAUCAAGGGUUCUGCAUCCCAUUCAGUUUGUUUAGCAAAGAAAGAGAAAAUGAUCACUGACUUUUUCAAAUACCUACUUGGGAGUUCAAGAAUAGACUGACCAGUCUGGAAAUGUUUGACUUAUGUUCAAACACUGUUGAUGGCACAGAAGAUUUGUAUGAAUAUAAUACAUAGACAUGCCAACGUGGAAAAUCACAGAUCAAAAAAUAUCUUAAUGUACCAUGGAUGGUAAUUCUUCUAUGGAGUACAUCAUAUCAUGCAAACAAUUUUGGAAAAAACACACAGUGACCCUAGAAGGACAUAGGAAAAACAUCCCUGGUGCUCAGAAAUUAUAUUACUCUGUUUCCCUGUGCUAUUGCAUUUCAGCCAGCAUGCAUGCUUCAUAUUCCAAAUAAGUAUGGAAAGAUUUUCCAGAGAAAUUCAUACAGAUUAAUAUUAAGAAAAAUAGUGUUAUCCUGUAUUAGAUAAACUCUUUCAGUAACAAGUUCAGCUUUUCUGUAUGUUUGUUUGUUUUUUAAAUUCUGAGACAUAUCCACACCUUAAUCAGAGGUACCAUAGGACAAUUCAAAAAAUACUGUAAGGCUUUUGACUUAAAGAUCACACUGAUUCCCUAUCUCAGGUAAACAAUGUUAAUUAUUAAUUUGAUUUUUCUCUUAAAAAUGAGCUGGUUGUUUCAGAGCAAGUUCAGAUUGCUUGGCCCCAUUUAUGCUUUUAUGUCUGUCUCUGCAUCUCAUGACUUUGCAAAUAUAUAUCACUUCCUUUUCAAAUUGAAAACUCUAAAAGAUGUUUCUUUUUCUGGUUUUGAGGGAAAUUAAUAAUAUUAUUUUAUGAUGUUAUAUAAUAAUGACAAUUGUCCAAAAAUGCUUAGGAAAGAGGAUUUGAAGUAAAUUUUACAUGUCUUACCUUGGUGAAAAAAAACCCUAACAAUAUAAACACCCUACAGUGUUAUUAA